UAGGGCAGGUUCCAGGUGGUGCUGCAGGGACACUGGAACACCGCGGCGGAGAACACGCGCUCCCCGCCCGCCGUCAGGAGGGUCACCAGGCCGUAGCCCAGCGCGCUGUGAUGCUUGAGGUGCAGGUUUAGCACCGACUGAAACUUCUCCAUGGGCCUCCUACCGCCGGGGGCGCCGUGGACAGGCCUGGAAGCUUCUGCGUCUUACCCGCCCUGCUCCUCCAACGGUUUGGGGGAGCUGAGGUCUAGGGCUUUCUACCCUGUGGGGCAGCAGCUUCCGGACAGGGGAAAAGGGCUUCUCGGGCCUCCGUGAGCUUUCGCUUUAUUUCCAGUAGACCCACUGUGGCUGACACACCCUUGGGCCUCUCAGGAUCACUGGUGACUUCUCUCACGAUUGAAGAACUUGAUUGAGGAUAGGCCCCACUCCGUGGUUACCUCUGUUUACACCCAACUGACAAGAAACCAGGGGACUUUCCAUACCCUUCCUGAUUCAGUGCAGCUGCCCAAUGGAAAGAGUACCAAAUGUUACUUGGAAGAUGAUUAUUUUAACCCUGAGAACCUAGAUGUGGCCACUCUUUGCUGUCAUCACUGUUAUCAUCGUCGUCAUCAUGAUCUCACACCGACACAUCAGAAUGGCUCCCACAAAGAAGGGUGGCAAGAAGAAGAAGGGUCAUUCUGCCAUCACCGAGGUAGUGACCAGAGAAUACACCAUCCACAUUCACAAGUACAUCUAUGAGUGGGUUUCAAGAAGUGUACCCCUCGGGCACUCAAAGAGAUCCAGAACUUUAUCAUAAAGGAGAUGGGAACUUCAGAUGUACACAUUGACGCCAGGCUCAACAAAGCUGUUUGGGCCAAAGGAAUAAGAAUGUUCCAUACCAUAUAUUCCAUGUGCAGUUGUCCAGAAAACAUAAUGAGGAUGAAGAUUCACCAAACAAGAUCUGUACGUUGGUUACCUAUGUACCUGUCACCACUUUAAAAACUACAGUUCAUGUGGAUGAGAACGAAUCGCUUAUUGUCAAAUAAAGGUAUAAAACUGAAAAAAAAAAAGUCUAUU
rnacentral:lncRNA from 1 species